rnacentral:rRNA from 1 species
AACGAACGCUGGCGGCGCGUCUUAAACAUGCAAGUCGAACGAUCUGUAGCAAUACAGGGAGUGGCGGACGGGUGAGGAACACGUAGGAAUCUACCUUGAAGAGCGGGAUAACUUUGGGAAGCCGGGGCUAAUACCGCAUAGUACAGAGAUGUUAAAGGGCUAGCAAUAGUCGCUUCGAGAUGAGCCUGCGGUCUAUCAGCUUGUGGUGAGGUAAUGGCUCACCAAGGCUACGACGGAUAGCCGGUCUGAGAGGAUGAUCGGCCACACUGGCACUGAGACACGGGCCAGACUCCUACGGGAGGCAGCAGUUAAGAAUCUUGCGCAAUGGGGAAACCCUGACGCAGCGACGCCGCGCGAAGGAUGAAGGCUUUCGGGUUGUAAACUUCGGUAGACUGGAAGAAGAAAUACGUUCGUUGAGGGCGUAUAGUGACGGUACCAGUCUGAAGCCCCGGCUAAUACGUGCCAGCAGCCGCGGUAA